UACAGAGGUGGCAAGCGUUGUUCGGAAUUACUGGGCGUAAAGGGCGCGUAGGCGGCCUUCUAAGUCGGACGUGAAAUCCCCAGGCUUAACUUGGGAACUGCGUCUGAUACUGGAAGGCUUGAGUGCGGGAGAGGGAUGUGGAAUUCCAGGUGUAGCGGUGAAAUGCGUAGAUAUCUGGAGGAACAUCAGUGGCGAAGGCGGCGAUCUGGGAAGUUACUGACGCUGAGGUGCGAAAGCGUGGGGAGCAAACAGG
rnacentral:rRNA from 1 species